CACGAGGGUCUCCCUGUCUUAAGGAAAUUUCCAGUGAAAUUGAAUUUGUAGUGAAGAUGCUACAUCCAAAUUGUUAGACAAGAAGUCCCCAUGGAACUUUACUGGAAACUUAUGCGGCUUAAAUUAAUUUAUUUCUUACAAAUAAAUAGUUUUUAAAUGUGGUGUUAACCUCUCGGAUUAACGAGGGUUAGAAAAGCUCACUCUUUUAUUUUAAGAAAGCCAACUCAAAAAUUUAUGUCUUUGGGAUUUGAUAAGUGGGACAGUUUGGUUGGGGCGACCGCCUUUAAAAAAGUAACGAAGGCGGGCUUAAGAUAACUUUUUAGUUAUGUCUGACUGCCAAGGGGGUAUCCUGAGCAGACACUUACUUUUUAGGUGGGUUUAAGUGACCCGUUAAUUUAGGGGGAAAUAGUUAACGAUAAGCA
rnacentral:rRNA from 1 species